GCCUACGGGGGGCAGCAGUGGGGAAUAUUGCACAAUGGGGGAAACCCUGAUGCAGCAACGCCGCGUGAGUGAAGAAGUAUUUCGGUAUGUAAAGCUCUAUCAGCAGGGAAGAAGAAAGACGGUACCUGACUAAGAAGCCCCGGCUAACUACGCGCCAGCAGCCGCGGUAAUACGUAGGGGGCGAGCGUUAUCCGGAUUUACUGGGUGUAAAGGGAGCGUAGACGGCCAUGCAAGCUCGGUGUGAAAGGUGCGGGCACAACCCGCAGACUGCACUGAGAACUGUAUGGCUGGAGUGCCGGAGGGGG
rnacentral:rRNA from 1 species